rnacentral:tRNA from 1 species
ACCCUGGUGGCGCAAUGAUUGAGCACUCGGCUGCUAACUGAAAGGUUGGAGGUUCGAGUCUGCCCAGGGGA